GAAUGCACUGCCUGAACCAACAUACAGACCACUACCAAUGGCUCCUCCAACCGAAAUCAUCUGCAUGUGUCUGGAUGUCAAUUUUCGUUUCAGUGCUACACCGUCACCACGAGUUGUUAAAGCAGGCUUAAAGUCGUCAAAAAAUCUCUGCAAAAAGUUUCUACUCUUUGGUUCAGCAUAAUUCUCGACUUCGCCGGUAGCUAUUACCUCUUCCUCAACGACAUCUCCUUUUCUUUCGAUGGACACCUUCGGUGCUUCCUUUUCAAAAGCGUUUUGCUCAAUAUCGAAAUUGUAAUCGCUAUGUGACAUUUUGUAAAGAGAUAGUUCA